AUUAGACCCUGUAUUCAUAGAAUCAUAGAAUCAACUAUAGAAUCAUAGAAUCACAGAAUCGCUAAGGUUGGAAAAGACCCACAGGAUCAUCCAGUCCAACCAUUCGCCCUUCAUCAAUGGUUCUCGCUAAACCAUGUCCCUCAACACAACAUCCAAACGCUCUUUGAACACCACCAGGCUCGGUGACUCCACCACCUGUCUGGGCAGCCCAUUCCAGUGUCUGACCACCCUUUCAGAGAAGUAGUAUUUCCUAACGUCCAGCCUGAACCUUCCCUGGCGCAGCUUGAAGCCAUUCCCUCUAGUCCUAUCACUAGUCACACGAGAGAAGAAGCUGACCCCCAGCUCACUACAACCUCCCUUCAGGUAGUUAUAGAGAGCAAUAAGGUCUCCCCUGAGCCUGCUCUUCUCCAGACUGAACAAUCCCAGCUCCUUUAGCCGCUCCUCAUAAGGCCUGUGCUCCAGACCCCUCACCAGCUUUGUUGCC
rnacentral:lncRNA from 1 species